CGGCGGCCGGGCCCCCUCGUCCCGCGGCGUUGCGAGCCCACGGGCUCCCGGCCUCCUGUCGCGGGGCCGAGCGGGGCCGAGGAGGCGCGGGAAGCCCGGAGCCCGUGCACCUGCUGCGGCUGCUGCGCCAGGACCCAGGACCUCGCUGCCCCUCUCGGCCACGAGGGGAGGCGAGGUGGGAACCCGCCCGCACCCCUCGUGGCGGCGCUGGAGGAGAAGCCCUCCUUGCAGCUGCCAGCCCCGUGGCUGCAGGGCGCCCUUGGCUUCCCACGGCUCCACGAGACCUGUCCCCGAGCUGUCCCCAAGCUGCCGUCUCUUGCAGGGAGGCCUGGGAUUAAUUGCAGCCCGGGGAGAGCAUCCUGGACGAUGGAGCCAAAGCCGGGAAGGCACAGCUGUUGGCCUCCCCUCAUUGCGAGGGGAGAGCUGUGCUCUGUUGGCUUCCUCCUGCAGACGGCCGUGGAGACCCACUUAAAAUAUUCUAGAUGAGCCACACCUCGGGCCGGGCCUCAGGACAGCGGCCACGGGGAAGAAGUCAGGGUGCCCUCGUGCAGCUGUGUCUGCACGGCUGUGCCCCCAAACCUGUCUGGGGGCCCUUAGCUGUCGCAUCACUGUGUCACCGGCACCUCCAAGGGCCUGUCCAGAUCAGGUCCUCAACUAGCGGUUACUGGAAUUGCUUUUUAAUGGAGCCGAGCCCUCCCCUUACCCCAGUCCCCCCCCGCCCCCCGCCGUUCGUGGGCAGGCGCUGCGAGGCACACUCACGCUCAAAGAUCAAGCAGAAGCACACUGUGCCACCCCAGGUGCUCUGGAUUGUUUCACAGGCCUCCGUUCCUUCCUGGCCACUCUCUGAGCCAUCCACCCACAGUGCCCUUUCUGUGACCGCAGAAUCCUGUUCCCGGGGACCCUGGGGCCCACCCUCCCCACCCCGAUGUCCCCAGGGCAGGACAAGGCAGGGCGGGUCUUCUGCAGAAGAAACGUCCAAGGGUGAGGUCGACCGUGUCCCCACCCCACUCCCCACAGAUCCACUGAUGUCCAGACCUCUGGAGCCUGUGAAUGUGACUUCACUGGGAAAAGGGGUCUUUGUAGAUGCAACUAUGUGAGGGAUCCUGAGAGCGCCCCGGAUGAGCCGGGUGGGCCACCGACAGGUGCAGAGGGAGAGGGUAAGAUUCACUGAGGGGGCAGCGGCAAAGGCGGGCAGGGGCUCAAGGUGCAGCCUCCCCUGGAGCCCCCUCUCCCAGGGACACCCCCCCCUCCGCCUCCACUCCCCCCGUGCCAGGUGGGUGCACACAGCGCUGGCCUCGAGCAACAGGGCUGGAGGAGCAGCAUCACCAAGACACGGACGGAAAAUAGCAGAAUCACCGGAAUUAAGCUGACGUUAGAGGAACAAGAGUGUCUGAGAUACGUAGAAAUGCCGUAGAUGCAGUGCGGGGGUCCGGAGAGCAGCACUUCGGCACUGGCGCGUCCCGCUGUCUGCCCGAGGCCCAAGCAUCAGGCCGACGGCCCCCUGCUCCCCGGAGAAGCCAUCCACACCCACAGGACUUGGCGCAGAGGGAGGAGUAAAACCCAAACCCACGAUCACUGUGAGCACACACACUGGGAGUUCAGGACAGCAGCUGGGAGGCACGGCGGGAGCGGUGGGGAGAGCCAAGCGUCCUCGGUGGGAUCCCACGGGGCUGGGAGUGGCAGGCCAGCCCUGGGACACUCAGCGUGGGAUGCGCAGACCCGAGACGUGCACAGCUUCUCAAACAUCUGCUUGCUGCUCUUUCUCAACUGACAUUUGUUUUUUAGGCAUAAAUGGCAUCAGCAAGGUUCUGUUUUGUUUUGUUUUGAAGAUUUUAUUUAUCUGUAUUUGACAGAGAGAGAAAGCAUAAGCAGGGGGAGGAGAGGGAGAAGCAGCCACCCACCGAGCAGGGAGCCCGAUGUGGGACUCGAUCCCAGGACCCCGGGAUCAUCGCCUGAGCCCAAGGCGAACGCUUCACCGAUGGAGCCCCCCCAGAACCCCUGGAAUCAGCAAGUUUUAAUAAAACACCUGCACCUUCAUGAAUCUGUGAUGAUUUGGGUUUGUUUCCGGAAACUUUCAGAGGCCCAAGGCUUGCCUGGCCGUGGUCAGGGAAAACACCGUGUGAGACUAGAAAAGCAAGGAAGAACUCGGAGAUGCAGAGAAAAAAGGCUUAGAAGAUCAGCCGGUACCGGUUCUGAACGGGAAGACACAGAACCACCCAACUGUGCGCUGACAGAAGCGACCCGGGAACGUGUUCAUCCAAGUAAAGCAAACCCGCCUCUCUCAGGGCGGCAGCGGGUCAGCGGGUUGUGCCCACCUCCACGGGGCCGCGAGGGCCAGGCCCUCUUCCUCGGCACCCGCACCCCAGGGCCCAGGGUGGUGUCAGCCACCCCCACCCCGACAGGACGGUCUCCUGGGGUGCUGGGGGAGGAGCUCUCGUGCUAGAGCUGCUGGCAGUGGCCACCUGUGGGCUGCCCCCCCCUCCCCUAGGGAAACUGUUUGGAGGCCUGAGGUCCGGCUGGGCCCCGCCUGAGCAGGUGCGCCUGUCCCCUCCCCUCUGCCACUCAGGACUGGUCUGAGCUCUCGGAGGAGCAGCCUCACUGGUUGCCAGGGGCCAAGAUCACGUGGAAGGAUGCAGCCCUGGGCACUGUCUUAUGACUAUGUGAGCAGAGGGGCAGGAGCGUACAGCCUACACGGAGGGUGGACGCAGAGAUGAGACACAGUGGCACACAGGCACACGUGCACACACACGUGUGUACACGUACAGGCUUCCUCACCUGGGCCAGGGAGGAAGGGCUGGCUUCUCUUAGGCAGAGAGAGGGAGAUGGAGUCUCUCGGCCUCCAGAACGGAGGGCAUAGACCCUGGGUCAUCCUUCUACCUCCCAGCUGCUUGGGGCAUCAGCUGAUUUCCACACUAGCCGCUCCCCCCACAGAUGGGGCCCCCACAGCACAGAGGAGCCAAAGCAGCUUGUUUUCAGUAUUCUUUAUUGGCAGUGGAAAAUGCUUCAGUACUGUAUUGAAAGACAGCAAUAAAUAAUACUGUGAUAAAAAUAGUUCAAAAGUAGACUGUACAUACUUUGUUACACAAUCAGGAAGUUCACAAAAGAUUAAUAGAAAAACAGAAUGGUACAGUGAAUUGUACAAGUAAAUUAAAAGCAGAAACCAAACGUAAAAAGACAUGCCGUGCCGUUUCUAUCUAUGUAUCAGCUGCAUAAUAAAUAACGCACCAUGAACUGAA